rnacentral:rRNA from 1 species
GAUAGAGGAUUCGUCCAAUCGAAAUAGAGGACAGUGGCGAACGGGUGAGUAAUGCAUGAGCAACCUGCCCUUCAGAGGGGGACAACAGUUGGAAACGACUGCUAAUACCGCAUAACAUUUUGGGAAGGCAUCUUCCUGAAAUCAAAGAUUUAUCGCUGAAGGAUGGGCUCAUGUCUGAUUAGCUAGUUGGCGGGGUAACGGCCCACCAAGGCUGCGAUCAGUAGCCGGUCUGAGAGGAUGAACGGCCACAUUGGGACUGAGAUACGGCCCAGACUCCUACGGGAGGCAGCAGUGGGGAAUAUUGGGCAAUGGGCGCAAGCCUGACCCAGCAAUGCCGCGUGAAGGAAGAAGGCCCUCGGGUUGUAAACUUCUUUUAUCAGGGACGAAGGAUGUGACGGUACCUGAUGAAUAAGCUCCGGCUAACUACGUGCCAGCAGCCGCGGUAAUACGUAGGGAGCAAGCGUUAUCCGGAUUUACUGGGUGUAAAGGGCGCGUAGGCGGGAUGGCAAGUCAGAUGUGAAAUCCAGGGGCUCAACCCCUGAACUGCAUUUGAAACUGUCGUUCUUGAGUACUGGAGAGGUUGACGGAAUUCCUAGUGUAGCGGUGAAAUGCGUAGAUAUUAGGAGGAACACCAGUGGCGAAGGCGGUCAACUGGACAGCAACUGACGCUGAGGCGCGAAAGCGUGGGGAGCAAACAGGAUUAGAUACCCUGGUAGUCCACGCCGUANACGAUGAAUACUAGGUGUGGGGGGACUGACCCCNUCCGUGCCGCAGUUAACACAAUAAGUAUUCCAC